rnacentral:tRNA from 1 species
GCCUGGGUGGCUCAGUCAGUUGAGCGUCCGACUUUGGCUCAGGUCAUGAUUUCACGGUUUGCGGGUUCGAGCCCCGCAUGGGGCU